CCACACUCUGUGCAGAGCAAGGCACUUGAAGAGGCUGUUAGUUUCAGGACUGUUUCUUGACAAGGAGUGUUAUGUGUAAACAUUAGCUGGAUUCUCCCGUUCCAUCAAAGCAACUCCCUGGCUGCGCUCCCCUGCCACCAGCAGGAUCAGACAAGGAGGAAACAGCAGACUGAGUCACUGACUGAAUACACACCCCAAACAGACAGGGCGCUGCGAUGGAGAUCCUCACCACUCUCCUGCUGCUCGGGCAAGCGAUGAUUGUACAAAUACAAGAAGGUUCCUCAACAGAGACUGGAACACCCGUACUAACGAUGGAGCCAAUGUGGAGGAGAUUCUUAACGGGUGACUGGAUCAUUCUUAGAUGUGAUGCUGG